rnacentral:RNase_P_RNA from 1 species
GAGGAAAGUCCGGGCUUCACAGGGCAGGAUGCCGGCUAACAGCCGGUGGAGGCGACUCCCAGGAAAGUGCAACAGAAAUAUACCGCCGGGGGAACCCGGUAAGGGUGGAAAGGCAGUGUAAGAGACUACCGUGCGGCUGGUAACAGGCGCAGCCAUGUAAACCCCAUCCGAAGCAAGACCGAGCAGGAGCGAUGACGCGGCCCGCCAGCUCCGGGUUGGUUGCUCGAGGCGGCUGGCAACAGCCGUCCUAGAUAGAUGAUCACACAAGACAUAACCCGGCUUA